CUCUGCUUGCAAGUUGCAACUGCAAAGUGCGAGGUAUUCAGUGAAUUUACAGUUGGAUGACAGUCCAAUGGAAGCCAAGGGAAGAUUCCACUCCUGCCUUAUCUGUGAUCCAGUGUAAUGAGGGCUGGUGGCAAGUCAUCUUCCGAACUUUCCCAGUGCGGAUGGACGGUCCGCCGUUCGAGCCAAUCGUCACGAUUUAAAACGGAGACAAGAAGCGAUCUUUCAUGACUGUUCUAUACCCUCAUAUGAACAACUCGCAUUUCGCCAGCGACGAUUUUAACCACAAGAGGGCCCUGUCACCCAAUUGUCGCCGUAUCCAAUGGAAGCAACACGACAGUCGAUUACAUUGCACCGCAAAACGUCGCCAUGGAGAUGGAGUGUGGUCGAGUUCUGCUGAUUGAAUUGUGUCGGACUUAAUAUUCCUGUCAUCUUCCACGGUAAUCACCUGCUUUCCUGUUGAAAUUGACUAGAUUAUUAGAAGCCAGUUGAAGAUCAAAGCAGGGAGGAGUACAUGCUCGUACGUCUUCUCAACUGUCCAACCGUGUCAUAAAAUAUUGGCAAACUUAUCUCUGUGAUCAAUGAAAUGGAAAGUAUUUGAUAAGUUUCAUAUUGAUAUUUUUGUAACCUAACUAAAAAUUUAAUAAUGAUAACUAUUGUAAUGAAGCCUUGCUUUCUACUUUUUG